CGUUGAAUGUUUAUAUGUGUAACUGUCAGUUUGAUGAAGUUGAAACAUCCGACCUUGUGUAGAGUAUGCCUUCUUCCUAUAUCUGAGUUUAUGAAUUCACAUUGAUUUAAAAAACUUGUUGAAUUGAAAAGACAAAGGCUAGCCCAAAAAAUCUUUCUUGUGAUUAUUUUUUUUUUCUUCAACAUAUGCAACGGGUUAAUAUCAAAUUAUAAGUUUCGUACCUACAUAACAUCGAAAAAGAACUAAAUAUAAUAAAAAAUGAUUGUUUAAUUCUAUAAACUCAAGUUAAUUGCAAGUUACCUUCAACAGUUUACGCAUUAGGGCAAUAAAUAUUUACAAAGAACCAUUAUAAUUUAAGGUAUGAAAAAAACAAAAAUGGAGGUCUCAGUGAUGACCAAUUUAGAUUUUUCCGUUUAGUUUAUCUACUAAAAUUUUAUGUCCCCGAGCCUAAAAUGAACAACCUCAAGUUGGUCUACCUCUUUACGAAAUCUAUAUUAGUCCAACGAAGGCUUUUCUGACCCAUUUUAUUUUAUCACCGAUAUUUUCGAAAUAAAACGAUAAAAAUGGCGAAUAUUUCUAUGAGUUUACAGCUUUUUCAUAUUACUGUUUUAUGGCUAUCUUAGGAAAGUUUAUCUAUUCUACCAUAUACUUUCAUUAUUCAAGUAUAAUUACAACAUUAACAUUUAGUUUAUUGCGACUUUUUGAAUUUAUCUGAUUUCGAUAACUUUUUUAUUGCCCCUUUAAUAAGGUAUGGGUAAGCAAACAAUGCUUUUCAAAAACUUUUUGCAAUUUCUUUUUAUAAAUGUCAGUCCUUAUUAGGGGUUUAUUUUUUUGUUCCUUUUUUUCCUUUCUUUUUUUUUUUUGACAAAAUUUCUUGUAAAUGUUAUCAGUAAAGCAGGCAAAUUGUUCUUGAGACAUAAGAAGGUUGAUUAAACUACACUUGCAUCCAAAAUUCCUCACGACAUCCGUGUAGCCCACUACGUUUACCAAAGCCUCCUCUCCCAUGACGACCACAAAAUCCACCUCGACCAGCACCUCUACCUCUAGAAUGGCCAUCAAAUUUACCUCCAAAAUGGUUUGGCCUAUGAGGGUACCAGUCAAAAUAAUCACCAACAUUUGGAUGAAAACCUAAGGCUUCACAAGGUAAAGCUGCUCUCCUAUGAGGUAGACCAUGUGGUAAAUCUUGCGCUAAGAAUGCGUGAGGAUUUUUAGGGAAUUCAGAACGAUGUAGGCAAGCUCUGCUUUCUCUAUCGAAUUCAUCAUGAAAACGCGUGUCACUGAAAGGUAUUUCACUUUCUCUGUUAUCAUUGUCUAAUUUUUUGUGCUCUUUUUUUGUUGUUAAAAGUUCGUUAAUAAAUAAAGUUAAAUCUGGUUUCGUUUCAAUUUGACCUUGUUGAAAAGAGGUUGUAGCUGAUGCUUUUGAUGUAUCAUUCAAUCCUAGCAAGUAUACU